rnacentral:lncRNA from 1 species
CUCUCUCACUUGGGACUCCUUGGAGGUUACAUGAACAAACCUUGGAACUGACCCUGGAGGGAGAGCGCCUCUUUCUUCGCUUGUGGGACUAGCUGGUCUUUGGACCCACGUGGGGCUUCUCCAGGCCCUCCGGGAUUCAAGGCGAAACCCUUCCCUCUGCCCACCUCACCCCAACUGCCCAGCUGGCCGGGCUCCACUGGGAAUCAGACCCGUGGAUUUGAGGGGGAGACGCCAGCAGGCUUGGCGCCCAAUCGUGGGGCCUGAAAAAGGCUUUUCUGGCCCGCGAGUGAAGAUUCCAGAGGUCUGAGGGACCGUGGACUUAAUCUCUGGCCUUCAAGUCGCCUUCGGAGAAGAGCAAGCUCUGUUCAAGGAGCUGCUCUCCGGAGGACAAAUCCGGUAGCUCCUAUGUGCCCAGGAGUCGGAUUUUCCCACUAGCUCCACUUCACCGAGGUUUUUUUUUCCUGCUCCUGUCUUUCCUUGGACGACUUAAAAGGGUUAUCUGCUCAGCCUUGGGUCUCCUAUAACCACUAUUCAAGAGUGACUGCGAUGGAUUUACAUGUGAUGUCAACAGAAAAUUCACCAUAUGUCAGCUGACCAAGAAAAAUUCAAUUUAAUUUUCUGUCUUUCAUAUUUUUCAUUGUUCAGCUAGAAUGAGUAGAAUAGAUAUAGUAAAAUUAUAAAAUAGUGCUGAAUUUUUAAAGAUUUGUUGCAAACUGAUGUCUUUUUCCAUUUGCAAAUUUGGAUAAUUUAAUAUGCAAAUUCCAUGCCAAUAUCAAAUAACUAAAUUAUCUCUUUCAAGAAAUUUAAUCCUUUUUUCACCAUCCACUAUCCAGAAGUGAAAAUCUUUCACAUAGACUCAUAUGAGAUAGUCAAUUAUUACAACUAGAUUGAAUUUCUUUAGCUAAGCUUACAUCCAGGUUUCUGUAGGUCCAAUAGCCUGGGUCUGUCUCCCAAGCCCUCCUCCAAAAUGACACUGGCAGGUGCCAUAGCUUAUGGAAGGUGCCUCUUUUUUUGAAAUAUAAUCUGGGCCAGCAUUUAUGUGGAGAGUGAUUUCUAUAUCAAAGUAUAGAAGUCAAUUGAAUAUUUUGCUUUCUCUAUUGCAAUAGAACAGAAACUCUUUUAAGUUAAAUGUAUCUAUCAUUAAGUCUUUAUUAAGAGUCAAAUUAAUAAAUUUAGAGUUCAGCUAAAAGCUAAGAAAAUCUCUUACUUUUUCCAUUUAUGCUUCUGUUCAGGAAAUAUCACACUCACUUUCAUAACCCCUUCACAUUCAAUUUCCAUAGAAAUUACAAGGCAAUAAAAGAAGAAGUUGUGAUAUCUUUCUACUAUAGUAUCCAUAGGCAGUUGCUUAAAAUAAAUAAUUAUUUUAUUUUACCUGUGGUUCCUGGUGCUUCCUUUUUUUCAUAAAGCAGCACAGAAGAGGUCUUCACAGUUUCAGAAGAAAGGCAGAAAGCUUUUGUGAAAAUGAGAUGGACUUUUUUUCCUAUGAGUCUGUUUGUUGAGUGAAACUGCUGGAAUGCUAGCACAUUAUUAAAAGGCAGCAAGAGAAGCAUACUAGAUAAUUGUGGCAGUAGGACUUGUUGAAGUUCAAGAACACCAGGGAAAAAAUGAAUAUUGUUCCUGAUGUGUUUGGUUGCAAUUGUACAGAUUUAGCAGAAAUGUGUCAAUUCAAUUAAUCAAGUUAAAAUACGUAAAUUCAAGGGAGUAAAACAACACCAAAACUUUGGGCACUAUGUAAAUGAGCGAUAAAAUUCAGAUAUAGAAAG